GAUGAACGCUGGCGGCGUGCCUAAUACAUGCAAGUCGAGCGAACGGACGAGAAGCUUGCUUCUCUGAUGUUAGCGGCGGACGGGUGAGUAACACGUGGAUAACCUACCUAUAAGACUGGGAUAACCUCGGGAAACCGGAGCUAAUACCGGAUGAUAUUUUGAACCGCAUGGUUCAAAAGUGAAAGACGGUCUUGCUGUCACUUAUAGAUGGAUCCGCGCUGCAUUAGCUAGUUGGUAAGGUAACGGCUUACCAAGGCAACGAUGCAUAGCCGACCUGAGAGGGUGAUCGGCCACACUGGAACUGAGACACGGUCCAGACUCCUACGGGGGGCAGCAGUAGGGAAUCUUCCGCAAUGGGCGAAAGCCUGACGGAGCAACGCCGCGUGAGUGAUGAAGGUCUUCGGAUCGUAAAACUCUGUUAUUAGGGAAGAACAUAUGUGUAAGUAACUGUGCACAUCUUGACGGUACCUAAUCAGAAAGCCACGGCUAACUACGUG
rnacentral:rRNA from 1 species